rnacentral:rRNA from 1 species
GACGAACGCUGGCGGCGUGCCUAACACAUGCAAGUCGAACGGUCCGGCACUCAACCGACCCUCAGUCUAACUGUAGGGGAAGUUGAGUGCCGGGUAGUGGCGGACGGGUGAGUAACGCGUGGGCAACCAACCCUGUACAGUGGGAUAACACCGGGAAACCGGUGCUAAUACCGCAUGACACCUAUAUGGUGCAUACCGUAUAGGUUAAAGGAUUUAACCGGUACAGGACGGGCCCGCGUCCCAUUAGCUAGUUGGUGAGGUAACGGCCCACCAAGGCGACGAUGGGUAGCCGACCUGAGAGGGUGACCGGCCACACUGGGACUGAGACACGGCCCAGACUCCUACGGGAGGCAGCAGUGGGGAAUAUUGGGCAAUGGGCGAAAGCCUGACCCAGCAACGCCGCGUGGAGGAAGAAGGCCUUCGGUUGUAACUCCUGUCCCGAGGACGAAGUAGGUGACGGUACCUUGGAGGAAGCCCCGGCGUAACUCCGUGCCAGCAGCCGCGGUAAGUCAUACUCGUA